GUUUAACGGAUAUUUCAAUCACAGGGUUUUCAGACCGGGAACAAACAGGAAGCGGCUGAAUUCAGAGAUCUUAAGUUUAUAUAUAUAUAUAAAACAUAGUACCAAUCUUUCAAAUGGGGGUAAAAUACAAAGGUGAAUAACGCUUAAAAAGUGGAUUAAACGACCGCGUUUUUCGAAAUGUCUCCGGGUUUGAACACGUAUGUAGCUUUUUAGCUUUUUAGGUUCCUUCCAUUUCCGCGUACACUUGAGUUUCCCUUAUCGACCCUCAGCAACUUCUGAACACAGGACGUCCUAAUUAUCCUUCGUCAUUUUAUUCUUCAUCUUCUCGUCGUUUUUAAGAAGCUUGAUUGACGGACGUCGGCCCCACCCACUUUAGCAUGGACGGUGAAGACGCCCACAAUGGGCGUGCGUUGUCUGGAGCUCAGUGUUCUCCUCUAGCCAGAAAUAUAAUAGGAGCAGAGGAUGAAGAGUUUGAGAAUGACCUGGACCCGACAGUGGACGAUCAGUGCAGUCAUUUCAACAGUAUCGAAUUGUUGAAAAGCAAACCCACCCAUCUGCUGGUCUUCCUCCAUCACGUCAUCCUCCAGUUUGACUGUGCUCCUCUGUUGUCCUACCUGCAUGCUGACCUCUUCAGGAACCUCAGUACCAAAGAGACCAAGAAACACUUUGUGGACUUCUAUAACAAUUUCUUGGAUAAAGGAGCAAUUCUCAGAGUAGCAGUACCACAUCAUAUAGCAUACGAGUUGGACCGUACCCGUCCAGACCUCAUCAGUGAGGACCUGCAGAAGCGAUUCGUUCAGGAAAUACAGAACAAUCAAACCAUGGAGGUCCUGCGACAGCUUGAAGACUUCAGGAAGAAAAGGAGGAUGGGAAUGACCCCGAAUGAACUUGAGCUGAGUGAGGUCGAGAAUCACUAUCCAACAGACCGUGUUCCCAGAGAAAUGAAGGAGAAAGCAGUGGCUGAGAGACUUCUAGAGAAGUUGACUGAAUCCAACCCUGCAAUUGUUGCAGAUGAAGAUAAAUGUUCUGCCAUCUUUGGUGCAGUUGGUUUUUACAUGAAGCAGCUGGGAGUGAAGAGCAGACCACCAGACAGCAAGAAGGGCAAAGGAUUUUUCAGGAGGAAGGUUCCAAAGAAGGAAGACAAGUCCAAGGUCCUCAGUAUCUUGAGGAUCGGCGGUAGCAGCAAUGAGGUCAAAAUUAAAUUGGACAACGAAGGCGAUAAGGACAGGAGUAAUGACCGGAGGAAUACUGCGAUCACCUUAGUACAUCGUGGCUCUACUACAGAUGGAAGUGUAUUACCCGGCCCGGUUCGGAAACCUGCCGCGUCAGUACCUAUCAUCGCUCAUGGACCAGAGCCCAGUGAAGUGACGCACAGCAACAUUAUAGUUACCCCCAGUCCUGAAGUUUCCCAGCCUGAGACAGGUCAGACCAUCAGUCGUACAGAGCAGUCUGUGUCCGAUGGUGGAGACGUAUCUCCUGCGUGCCCCAAUGUCGAUAUUGUCUGGGAGCCUCCAGCUGUGACCGACGUCCCUGUAGAAGAGAGCCAUGAAAAGGACAGACGGAAGACAAGGAGUGUGCGUCGCAGCGAGAGUCUGUGUGUGGAACGCUGCCACUCUCGCCGAGGUGGCUCUACUCGGGCUAAACAAUCUCGUUCCCGUAGCGAUGUGGACCUUCAGUCAACUUCCACUUCCCAACCCCCUUCACCUUUUCCCCAGCCUGCCAGAUUAGGGGAUUCACCAGUAAUGCCAGUCGAUGGCCCUUUUAAAGGCAGUGGCUCCUUUACUCAGCAAGAGGAAGUGGAGCCCCGGCUCCUGGAAUUAGAGCAGGAUCCACCCAACUGGAGAGAGCUUUCCUCCAGUGAGACCCUGAGUAAACUCACUAAGAAGGAGACAAAGAGGCAGGAAGUCAUCAACGAGUUGUUUGCAACAGAGCAUGCUCAUGUGCGCAUGCUGAGUGUACUGCAGACCGUGUUUUCUCGUCCACUGGAAAGAGAGGGACUCAUGGAACCUACCGAGCUGGCUGCGGUCUUCCCUAGUUUGGAUGAGAUUCUGGACAUGCACUAUGCUUUCUAUGAGAAUCUGAAGAAACUACGCCAAGAUGAUGAUUAUGUGGUUAAACAAAUCAGCACUCUGCUGCUGAACAGAUUUAAUGGCUCAGAGGGCGAAUGGUUCCAGAAGCUCACAGCUCGUUUCUGUAGUCGUCAGUCAUGGACUCUGGUUCAAAUCAAGAACAAGCAGAAGAAAGAUCCGCGCUUUAAUGCCUUCAUACUGGAGGCAGAGAGUAAGCCACAGUGCAGAAGAUUACAGCUGAAGGACAUCAUCCCCAUCGAGAUGCAGAGACUAACCAAGUACCCGCUGCUGUUGGAAAACAUUGCCAAGAGUACAGAAGAUAAUUUGGAGAAGGAAUAUAUCCAACAAGCUGCUGAAUGCUGUCGAAAGAUCCUAAACCAUGUCAAUGAGGAGGUGAAAUACAUGGAGAAUCUUCUGACUUUAAGGGACUACCAGCGCAGGUUGGACACUUCAGGGCUGAAGCCCAGCAAUGAGCUCUACUCAGAGUACAGGGGUAUUGACCUGACAACAAGAUCUAUGGUUUAUGAGGGGCCACUUACAUGGAGGGUGACUAAGGAAAAAGCUCUAGAUGUGCAGGGUGUGUUGCUGGGAGACAUGUUGGUCCUUCUGCAGAAACAAGACGAUAAGAUGCUCUUGAAAUGCCAAAGUAAGAGUAACAUUGCUGCCCAGGAGGGCAAACAAAUGCUCAGCCCCAUCAUAAAGCUGGAAUCGGCUUUCCUGCGAGAUGUAGCUACAGAUCGGAAGGCCUUCUAUGUUAUCUUCACCUGGGAGAGUGGAGCUCAGAUCUAUGAACUCGUGGCCCAGUCUGUUGCGGAACGAAAAAUAUGGACAGAUUUGAUAAAGUCAACAGCGGAUGACUUGAAAAAGAGCGCUGGUCAUACGCUGGAUAGGAUGAGGCUUGGCAGCGUGCCAAGUAACAGCUCUGCGCUGGGAUAUACUAACUUACUGAACCCCCCACUCAGCCCUACUGACAAUGGAACAGAUGUACUGAAAAACUCAGGUGGUCAAUAUAAGGACAGCCUUACUGAUGAAAAGUUCAGGCACACUCAGCCUUCACUGAUUGACUGCUUAACUGCCAAAGGAUUUGACCUACUGGCUUACAGCAGUGUUCGUCCCGAGCGCUCAGGAAGUGUGGCUUUGGAUGAAGUAAUGUCAUUGAAGACACUGUUACUCGGAAGUACCGGUCAGUCCUCGAAUGUCGAGCCUGAAGGAGAGAGCGGAGGAGAGUCAGCAAAGCAGGAGAAUGAUGACAGUCAAUCACAAGUUGAAGAGCACAAUAUAGAGUCACAGGAUGAAAAGGCAAAGGGAGAAGAGCAGAAAGCAGUAAUUGCUCCACUAGUGCUUUCUGAGGAGCAGAGAGAGGAGAUCAGCAGUAAACUGGAGAGUCUGGAAGACCAAGUGAAGAGACUACAGAAUGUGGAGGACGAGUAUCACAGGCUACAGGAAACCCUUGCUAAGUUUACUAUUCAAAGAGGCAACUACAACUGAGGAUCAUUCCAACCUGCUGGUCACAAGAGAUUAUCUAAAGCCCCAAGCUGAUGAUGUGGUGAAAGAGUCGCUUAAAGAAUUGAGAGAGAGAGAGAGAGAGAGAGAGAGAGAGAGAGAGAGAGAGUGUGUGUGUGUGUGUGUGUGUGUGUGUGUGUGUGUGUGUGUGUGUGUGUGUGUGUGUGUGUGUGUGUGUGUGUGUGUUUUAGUUAUGCAGAACUAUUGGCCCCAAAUGAAGAUGGUGAAAAUAGAAAAUGUGUACUCAUGAAAUAACAGGUCUUGAGCACACACAAAACAAAGAAAAGGGUUGAAGGGGAUCGACAUCUGCUGAUUCUGUAUUUGAUUUAAAGUGUGAAGAUGUUUGUGUAAAAAUGGAGUUUUCUCUCUAAGCCACAGCCAUGUUUCUAUCAUAGUGCAUCAGUUACAGCUUAGCUCUGGUCACAUGGCCACUGUAGAGCUAUUCUGCCUUUAGCACGGUGGGGUGAGUGAGUCAGGAUAUGUUCAUGUGAGUCACUUAGAUGAGUUCGAGUCCUCGACAAUCUGCUCUUUAGAAGAACUCGGCUGUAUUUUCACGUCUAUGCUUAAUUGUCAGAGCAGAUAUGAAGUUGGGAAGUACUUUCUAAAGAGUAGCUUCCUUACCUUCACACGCAUCAGGUUUUAGACCAAAGAGAACCUAAUAAGCAGAUUUCUAGCAGUAAAUCUAAUAAAUAGAUCUGAUACGAAUUAUUUAGCUUUUACAUAUAUAACCAGAUGCAACGAUAAGCAUGGAGAACAAGAUUCAAAUGCACUUACUUCCCUUUCUUAUGUUCUAUGCACCUAUAUAAAUAGUGAUAAAUAGAUUAUACAAGUAAGAAAACAUCAGCCACGAGACUCCUUCAGGAAAAAUAAAAUAAUAAUAAUAAUAAUUUCUCCUAUUUGAGACCACCCUAUUGAGGGAUUAUAGGUUUGCUAAAUAUAAAAAUUAUUUUAGUGCUUUUUUUGUUUUGUUACUUCUCGCCUUCUGACAAAUCAGAAUCAAGAAUUCAACAGGGUAGAAAAAGGUAUACACAUUUAUCUCAGACUGUCUGUUUAUACAAAUAUCAUCUAGGCUGAUGUGGUGAAGAGCUCUGAAGUGGAUUAUUUUUUUGUAGCACACUUGUACCACAACGAUUCGCGAUGACAAUUUUUUAUUUAUUAAUGAACGUCACAAUUUUUAACUGUUUAUAGUUUGUUAUCGAACAUUUAUGAGAAAAGUGUUCCUGUUUUUUAUUCAUUGUUUUAGUAAUUAUAAACAGUCUUUCCCUCGGUAGCUUGCCUUUUUAAUUAAAAAAAAAUUAUAUAUAUAUAUUUUUUAAGUUAAUCAAACAAAAUAAUCUGUUAUCCCGACUCCAGAAAGCAGAACUUUCAAUGUCUACAAAUAAAAAAAACAAACUUCACCACAUGAACCAUUUGAUAUUUUUACUUGUUGAACAACACGUCAUUAUCUGUUUAUUAUUCCGAUCAGAUUAUGUCCCACAUCCCUAUGUACUGUAUGCCUGUGGUGUGAGCUGUCAAGAAACAAAGAAACAAUACAAGGACAUUGAUAGAAGUGAUUUAAACAUAUAUAUCAUUUGUAAUAUGUGAGUGUUGAAGCCUGAACCAUCGUCAGAGCUUGAUACAGUGCUGGGACAUUAUGUAUAUUGUUAAUCAUCACUUUCUGACAUAAAAUGGUUAAUUAAAUGUUAACAGUAACAGUGCUA